rnacentral:lncRNA from 1 species
ACGGGCUCAGAGCACUGCCCACGUCAUGCCAAAAUAUAACGGCCCAUCUGAUGACAGAGCGGGCCUUGGACCGGCGGCACAAAAGGUCCCAUUGAGCCCGCGAAGAAUGGAUCGACUGUGCGGCCCCGGGAGCACGGGACUGUGCUGUCAGGUAUAGGAGGCCGGGAGGACGAUAAAACCCACUGUCUGUCCAUGCAAAUUAGACGGAGAAGUGCCGAUAUAUAGCCACCGCCGCGCAAGAACAGACCUUAUUGUUCAGAGCAGCACCUGCAAAAAACCCAAAACACAGCCCGCUGUCCGAGAUGAGACUCAACAUCGCUCUAGUCCUGGUCCUAGCUGUUGCCGGACUUAAAACGGCAACCGCACUGUCCUUGGCAUCAGAGGAAAUAAGUGAAGAAAUCAGUAAAAAGGAAGAAGAUGUGAAUGACCUGCAGAAGAGAGACGAGCUGGAUUAUGACGAUGAGUCAAUUGAAGGUGAGACAGAGACAAUCAUUUUCAUCGUUAAGAACCUGUAGGCUGGGAAUGUUUUUGUAUCUCGUACUAUUGCACUUACAACACAACAAAGCUUGGGCAUUGCCAUGCUCUGGGUCACCUUGCUCUCAAGAAGGAUUAGUUGUUAGUCUGCUUUUGAAAAAGUCAACCAGGGAAGUUUUUGUUUUAACAAUGCAGUAUACCACAGAGCCACAUCAGGUCAACCUGCAAGAUGGCGAGUCGGGUGGAGAGCUGGACUUGCCACCCUUGCAGGCUUUUGAGAAGCUAACAGGCAGCUCCGGGCUCCCUGGAACAGACCCGAUACGCCCCUCCCUCUCUGAGAAUCUCAAUCUGAUCUAG